UAGCUCAUUGUUUGCACCCACAAAAUUC
rnacentral:sRNA from 1 species